UGUGCUCUCCUACGACCCUUGCCCUCUUUUUCUGUUAAACUCUUAGGUCACAGUGGUCCUCUCUGACCUCUCCCUUUCACAGCACCAUGUCCCCUCCCUUUGCAGAGCUGGUCUCAAUGCACCCAAUUCCCACUCAUUAGCUGAUUGCCACCACAGUCUGUGCUGGGCAGAGUAAUUCACCCCAGGGCACCCCAGGCAUGGUGACUCAGGUACUGUUUGGGAGCAGCCCAUCACCUUUGAGAAUUUCUCUGAGAGAAAGACUGAACACAAGCAGGGGAGAGGCAGAGAGAGAGGGAGACACAGAAUCUGAAGCAGGCUCCAGGCUGUGAGCUGUCAGCACAGAACCCAACAUGGGGCUCAAAGUCAAGAACUUCGAGAUCAUGACCUGAGCCGAAGUUGGAUGCUUAACCAAUUGAGCCACCCAGGCACCCCUUAAAAAUGUUCUUUAAAUCAAAUUAUAUCUUUGUUUAAAUAUAUUUUCACAAAGUAUGUGUAUGUCAUCACUGA